rnacentral:lncRNA from 1 species
UCAUUAUCCUUCCACCGCUGGUGGCGGGCGGUACUCGCUGCUCUGUGAAGCCAGCCUCACGCAAUGUCCGCCACUUUAGGUGUUGGGAUGCAAAGGCUUUCGCCAAGGCAUCCGAAACCCACUACACAACUUGGAAUGGGUGGUCCACAGUUUGUAGCACUAGACCCAGGCACAUGCACCACAAUUGACAUCCACACUACCUUAUUGCCCCCGCUCGGGUUACAAGCAAUCGCUACUUGCUCAGCGAGUGAGGGGGUUCAAGACUACCUAUUUAAGGUGGUGUUGUACUCUAUGAGCCGGCGGUGUGGUAUUUACCAACUACAAAUAGUGUCAUGCAUGUGACUUGCUAGUUGACAAUGUCUGUUGUCAAGCUAGGUGUGGGCUAUGGAUGAAGCACAUUAGGAUAUAGUAGGCCUAUUUUGUUUUUUGUUGUUUUUGGGCCACUAUGGACUGUAUGUUGAUGUUGUGAAAUUUUUUUCUUGUGUUUCCUCUUCCUACGAUGUGGAAAGUGGGUGCGUCAGAGAAGAAAGAAAGAGUGGCUAGCAUUGAUUUUACGUCAUACCAUUGAGAACACUAAUCAGAAGCAGAAGCAACAAUAUUUCAUACAUAUACAACACUUGUAAUCCAUAUAAACAACAUUCCUUUAAAAUAUAAUAUAAACCACAUGAUUUAUAUCCUGGGUCGGCUAUCUCCACAAAGGGCAAGAAAACGCUCCAAGUUUGUAGUAUAGCACUAAAAGUGUCGAUUCUCACGAUUUCUUCCCGACAUAUACAAACUAGACAGUAAUCACAUAAAAUAAAGAAAUAUGUGUUAACACGAACUUAUAACAUGUAUUUCAACAUAUAGAUUGUUGAUUAUUAUGGUAGAUUAUAUAAAAUAGGGGUUCCCGAAGAAAUACAUAAAAACAAGAGCAUUAAAAUUUCCUUUUCAGAUCUGGCUAUCUGGUAAAAGGAGUUGGAGUAACUGAGUUUCCAAAUUUGUGACGUAGCUCUAUAGAAGGAAUAUAAAUACGUUGGAAAAAUUCUAUAAGGAAAGGUUUAAUACAAGUAGGGCUAAGAAAAACUCAAUGAGGCUUUGGUCGCAUGGUCACAAAACUUGAGACAAGAAACACGAAGACACCAAGGUAAUUAGUAUGAGAGUUUUCCAAAUUUGGUGUCUUGAUGUAGAAAAAAUAAAUAUAUGACAAACUUGUUUUUUCGCAAGGCAUGGAUAAAUAAGUGGGGGUGAGCAAUAAAUUUCAUCCUAGAUUUAGAAGGAAUAAAUAUAUCACUAAAUAUGUUUUUUCACAAUGCCAAGUUAAUCAGGUGGGAGCGAGAAACAAUUCUAGCGAGGCUAGGUUGUACUAGCCCAAAACUACAUACAACAGAGGAAAAAUGAAGAAAAUGAUGGUCUACCAAAUAUGGCGCAUGAGCCUUAAGGUGCACCUAGAGGGAAGUAGAAGAAAUAAAUAUAUAAUAGCAUAUGUUUUUCGCAAUGCAAGGUAAAGUGUAGAUGUGCUCUAACUGGGCUUAGAUUGCAGCGACACAUUAUGCAUCUACAAGGCUUGGUUGCACAUGGAAAAAGAUAGAGAGAGAAAUGUAGACGCAGGACCGGGAGAAAAACAUUCAACGAGACGUGAUUGCACGGACAUAGAACUAGAUAUAAGACAAGAGUUAAAGAAAAAUAAAGGAACUAAAUUUUCUUCUGCACACUAAGCAUGAAUGGAGUUGUAGUAUCUGAGAUCAAAAUUUAAUUUAUUCCAAGAUGCAGAACAAAAACGUGAUACUCGUAAUGGUUACAUAGGAACAUAAGUAGAUAAGAAAAAUAGCAAAAAGAUAGUGGUCUACCAGAGAGGGCACAUGUGCCUCAAUUGGCCUAUAGCAUAGCGACUCAUUAUCCUUCCACCGCUGGUGGCGGGCGGUACUCGCUGCUCUGUGAAGCCAGCCUCACGCAAUGUCUGCCACUUUAGGUGUUGGGAUGCAAAGGCUUUCGCCAAGGCAUCCGAAACCCACUACACAACUUGGAAUGGGUGGUCCACAGUUGGUAGCACUAGACCCAGGCACAUGCACCACAAUUGACAUCCACACUACCUUAUUGCCCCCGCUCGGGUUACAAGCAAUCGCUACUUGCUCAGCGAGUGAGGGGGUUCAAGACUACCUAUUUAAGGUGGUGUUGUACUCUAUGAGCCGGUGGUGUGGUAUUUACCAACUACAAAUAGUGUCAUGCAUGUGACUUGCUAGUUGACAAUGUCUGUUGUCAAGCUAGGUGUGGGCUAUGGAUGAAGCACAUUAGGAUAUAGUAGGCCUAUUUUGUUUUUUGUUGUUUUUGGGCCACUAUGGACUUUAUGUUGAUGUUGUGAAUUUUUUUUCUUGUGUUUCCUCUUCCUACAAUGUGGAAAGUGGGUGCGUCAGAGAAGAAAGAAAGAGUGGCUAGCAUUGAUUUUACGUCAUACCAUUGAGAACACUAAUCAGAAGCAGAAGCAACAAUAUUUCAUACAUAUACAACACUUGUAAUCCAUAUAAACAACAUUCCUUUAAAAUAUAAUAUAAACCACAUGAUUUAUAUCCUGGGUCGGCUAUCUCCACAAAGGGCAAGAAAACGCUCCAAGUUUGUAGUAUAGCACUAAAAGUGUCGAUUCUCACGAUUUCUUCCCGACAUAUACAAACUAGACAGUAAUCACAUAAAAUAAAGAAAUAUGUGUUAACACGAACUUAUAGCAUGUAUUUCAACAUAUAGAUUGUUGAUUAUUAUGGUAGAUUAUAUAAAAUAGGGGUUCCCGAAGAAAUACAUAAAAACAAGAGCAUUAAAAUUUCCUUUUCAGAUCUGGCUAUCUGGUAAAAGGAGUUGGAGUAACUGAGUUUCCAAAUUUGUGACGUAGCUCUAUAGAAGGAAUAUAAAUACGUUGGAAAAAUUCUAUAAGGAAAGGUUUAAUACAAGUAGGGCUAAGAAAAACUCAAUGAGGCUUUGGUCGCAUGGUCACAAAACUUGAGACAAGAAACACGAAGACACCAAGGUAAUUAGUAUGAGAGUUUUCCAAAUUUGGUGUCUUGAUGUAGAAAAAAUAAAUAUAUGACAAACUUGUUUUUCGCAAGGCAUGGAUAAAUAAGUGGGGGUGAGCAAUAAAUUUCAUCCUAGAUUUAGAAGGAAUAAAUAUAUCACUUAAUAUGUUUUUUCACAAUGCCAAGUUAAUCAGGUGGGAGCGAGAAACAAUUCUAGCGAGGCUAGGUUGUACUAGCCCAAAACUACAUACAACAGAGGAAAAAUGAAGAAAAUGAUGGUCUACCAAAUAUGGUGCAUGAGCCUUAAGGUGCACCUAGAGGGAAGUAGAAGAAAUAAAUAUAUAAUAGCAUAUGUUUUUCGCAAUGCAAGGUAAAGUGUAGAUGUGCUCUAACUGGGCUUAGAUUGCAGCGACACAUUAUGCAUCUACAAGGCUUGGUUGCACAUGGAAAAAGAUAGAGAGAGAAAUGUAGACGCAAGACCGGGAGAAAAACAUUCAAUGAGACGUGAUUGCACGGACAUAGAACUAGAUAAAAGACAAGAGUUAAAGAAAAAUAAAGGAACUAAAUUUUCUUCUGCACACUAAGCAUGAAUGGAGUUGUAGUAUCUGAGAUCAAAAUUUAAUUUAUUCCAAGAUGCAGAACAAAAACGUGAUACUCGUAAUGGUUACAUAGGAACAUAAGUAGAUAAGAAAAAUAGCAAAAAGAUAGUGGUCUACCAGAGAGGGCACAUGUGCCUCAAUUGGCCUAUAGCAUAGCGACUCAUUAUCCUUCCACCGCUGGUGGCGGGCGGUACUCGCUGCUCUGUGAAGCCAGCCUCACGCAAUGUCCGCCACUUUAGGUGUUGGGAUGCAAAGGCUUUUGCCAAGGCAUCCGAAACCCACUACACAACUUGGAAUGGGUGGUCCACAGUUUGUAGCACUAGACCCAGGCACAUGCACCACAAUUGACAUCCACACUACCUUAUUGCCCCCGCUCGGGUUACAAGCAAUCGCUACUUGCUCAACGAGUGAGGGGGUUCAAGACUACCUAUUUAAGGUGGUGUUGUACUCUAUGAGCCGGCGGUGUGGUAUUUACCAACUACAAAUAGUGUCAUGCAUGUGACUUGCUAGUUGACAAUGUCUGUUGUCAAGCUAGGUGUGGGCUAUGGAUGAAGCACAUUAGGAUAUAGUAGGCCUAUUUUGUUUUUUGUUGUUUUUGGGCCACUAUGGACUUUAUGUUGAUGUUGUGAAUUUUUUUUCUUGUGUUUCCUCUUCCUACGAUGUGGAAAGUGGGUGCGUCAGAGAAGAAAGAAAGAGUGGCUAGCAUUGAUUUUACGUCAUACCAUUGAGAACACUAAUCAGAAGCAGAAGCAACAAUAUUUCAUACAUAUACAACACUUGUAAUCCAUAUAAACAACAUUCCUUUAAAAUAUAAUAUAAACCACAUGAUUUAUAUCCUGGGUCAGCUAUCUCCACAAAGGGCAAGAAAACGCUCCAAGUUUGUAGUAUAGCACUAAAAGUGUCGAUUCUCACGAUUUCUUCCCGACAUAUACAAACUAGACAGUAAUCACAUAAAAUAAAGAAAUAUGUGUUAACACGAACUUAUAGCAUGUAUUUCAACAUAUAGAUUGUUGAUUAUUAUGGUAGAUUAUAUAAAAUAGGGGUUCCCGAAGAAAUACAUAAAAACAAGAGCAUUAAAAUUUCCUUUUCAGAUCUGGCUAACUGGUAAAGGGAGUUGGAGUAUCUGAGUUUCCAAAUUUGGGACGUCGCUCUAUAGAAGGAAUAUAAAUACAUUGGAAAAAAUUCUACAAGGAAAGGUUUAAUACAAGUAGCGCUAAGAAAAACUCAAUGAGGCUUUGGUCGCUUGGUCACAAAACUUGAGACAAGAAACACGAAGACACCAAGGUAAUUAGUAUGAGAGUUUUCCAAAUUUGGUGUCUUGAUGUAGAAAAAAUAAAUAUAUGACAAACUUGUUUUUUCGUAAGGCAUGGAUAAAUAAGUGGGGGUGAGCAAUAAAUUUCAUCCUAGAUUUAGAAGGAAUAAAUAUAUCACUAAAUAGGUUUUUUCACAAUGCCAAGUUAAUCAGGUGGGAGCGAGAAACAAUUCUAGCGAGGCUAGGUUGUACUAGCCCAAAACUACAUACAACAGAGGAAAAAUGAAGAAAAUGAUGGUCUACCAAAUAUGGCGCAUGAGCCUUAAGGUGCACCUAGAGGGAAGUAGAAGAAAUAAAUAUAUAAUGGCAUAUGUUUAUCGCAAUGCAAGGUAAAGUGUAGAUGUGCUCUAACUGGGCUUAGAUUGCAGCGACACAUUAUGCAUCUACAAGGCUUGGUUGCACAUGGAAAAAGAUAGAGAGAGAAAUGUAGAUGCAGGACCGGGUGAAAAACAUUCAAUGAGACGUGAUUGCACGGACAUAGAACUAGAUAUAAGACAAGAGUUAAAGAAAAAUAAAGGAACUAAAUUUUCUUCUGCACACUAAGCAUGAAUGGAGUUGUAGUAUCUGAGAUCAAAAUUUAAUUUAUUCCAAGAUGCAGAACAAAAAUGUGAUACUCGUAAUGGUUACAUAGGAGCAAAAGUAGAUAAGAAAAAUAGCAAAAAGAUAGUGGUCUACCAGAGAGGGCACAUGUGCCUCAAUUGUCUUAUAGCAUAGCGACUCAUUAUCCUUCCACCGCUGGUGGCGGGCGGUACUCGCUGCUCUGUGAAGCCAGCCUCACGCAAUGUCCGCCACUUUAGGUGUUGGGAUGCAAAGACUUUCGCCAAGGCAUCCGAAACCCACUACACAACUUGGAAUGGGUGGUCCACUGUUUGUAGCACUAGACCCAGGCACAUGCACCACAAUUGACAUCCACACUACCUUAUUGCCCCGCUCGGGUUACAAGCAAUCGCUACUUGCUCAGCGAGUGAGGGGGUUCAAGACUACCUAUUUAAGGUGGUGUUGUACUCUAUGAGCCGGCGGUGUGGUAUUUACCAACUACAAAUAGUGUCAUGCAUGUGACUUGCUAGUUGACAAUGUCUGUUGUCAAGCUAGGUGUGGGCUAUGGAUGAAGCACAUUAGGAUAUAGUAGGCCUAUUUUGUUUUUUGUUGUUUUUGGGCCACUAUGGACUUUAUGUUGAUGUUGUGAAAUUUUUUUCUUGUGUUUCCUCUUCCUACGAUGUGGAAAGUGGGUGCGUCAGAGAAGAAAGAAAGAGUGGCUAGCAUUGAUUUUACGUCAUACCAUUGAGAACACUAAUCAGAAGCAGAAGCAACAAUAUUUCAUACAUAUACAACACUUGUAAUCCAUAUAAACAACAUUCCUUUAAAAUAUAAUAUAAACCACAUGAUUUAUAUCCUGGGUCGGCUAUCUCCACAAAGGGCAAGAAAACGCUCCAAGUUUGUAGUAUAGCACUAAAAGUGUCGAUUCUCACGAUUUCUUCCCGACAUAUACAAACUAGACAGUAAUCACAUAAAAUAAAGAAAUAUGUGUUAACACGAACUUAUAGCAUGUAUUUCAACAUAUAGAUUUUUGAUUAUUAUGGUAGAUUAUAUAAAAUAGGGGUUCCCGAAGAAAUACAUAAAAACAAGAGCAUUAAAAUUUCCUUUUCAGAUCUGGCUAUCUGGUAAAAGGAGUUGGAGUAACUGAGUUUCCAAAUUUGUGACGUAGCUCUAUAGAAGGAAUAUAAAUACGUUGGAAAAAUUCUAUAAGGAAAGGUUUAAUACAAGUAGGGCUAAGAAAAACUCAAUGAGGCUUUGGUCGCAUGGUCACAAAACUUGAGACAAGAAACACGAAGACACCAAGGUAAUUAGUAUGAGAGUUUUCCAAAUUUGGUGUCUUGAUGUAGAAAAAAUAAAUAUAUGACAAAUUUGUUUUUUCGCAAGGCAUGGAUAAAUAAGUGGGGGUGAGCAAUAAAUUUCAUCCUAGAUUUAGAAGGAAUAAAUAUAUCACUAAAUACAUUUUUUCACAAUGCCAAAUUAAUCAGGUGGGAGCGAGAAACAAUUGUAGCGAGGCUAGGUUGUACUAGCCCAAAACUACAUACAACAGAGGAAAAAUGAAGAAAAUGAUGGUCUACCAAAUAUGGCGCAUGAGCCUUAAGGUGCACCUAGAGGGAAGUAGAAGAAAUAAAUAUAUAAUAGCAUAUGUUUUUCGCAAUGCAUGGUAAAGUGUAGAUGUGCUCUAACUGGGCUUAGAUUGCAGCGACACAUUAUGCAUCUACAAGGCUUGGUUGCACAUGGAAAAAGAUACAAAAAGAAAUGUAGACGCAGGACCGGGAGAAAAACAUUCAAUGAGACGUGAUUGCACGGACAUAGAACUAGAUAUAAGACAAGAGUUAAAGAAAAAUAAAGGAACUAAAUUUUCUUCUGCACACUAAGCAUGAAUGGAGUUGUAGUAUCUGAGAUCAAAAUUUAAUUUAUUCCAAGAUGCAGAACAAAAAUUUGAUACUCGUAAUGGUUACAUAGGAGCAAAAGUAGAUAAGAAAAAUAGCAAAAAGAUAGUGGUCUACCAGAGAGGGCACAUGUGCCUCAAUUGGCCUAUAGCAUAGCGACUCAUUAUCCUUCCACCGCUGGUGGCGGGCGGUACUCGCUGCUCUGUGAAGCCAGCCUCACACAAUGUCCGCCACUUUAGGUGUUGGGAUGCAAAGGCUUUCGCCAAGGCAUCCGAAACCCACUACACAACUUGGAAUGGGUGGUCCACUGUUUGUAGCACUAGACCCAGGCACAUGCACCACAAUUGACAUCCACACUACCUUAUUGCCCCGCUCGGGUUACAAGCAAUCGCUACUUGCUCAGCGAGUGAGGGGGUUCAAGACUACCUAUUUAAGGUGGUGUUGUACUCUAUGAGCCGGCGGUGUGGUAUUUACCAACUACAAAUAGUGUCAUGCAUGUGACUUGCUAGUUGACAAUGUCUGUUGUCAAGCUAGGUGUGGGCUAUGGAUGAAGCACAUUAGGAUAUAGUAGGCCUAUUUUGUUUUUUGUUGUUUUUGGGCCACUAUGGACUUUAUGUUGAUGUUGUGAAAUUUUUUUCUUGUGUUUCCUCUUCCUACGAUGUGGAAAGUGGGUGCGUCAGAGAAGAAAGAAAGAGUGGCUAGCAUUGAUUUUACGUCAUACCAUUGAGAACACUAAUCAGAAGCAGAAGCAACAAUAUUUCAUACAUAUACAACACUUGUAAUCCAUAUAAACAACAUUCCUUUAAAAUAUAAUAUAAACCACAUGAUUUAUAUCCUGGGUCGGCUAUCUCCACAAAGGGCAAGAAAACGCUCCAAGUUUGUAGUAUAGCACUAAAAGUGUCGAUUCUCACGAUUUCUUCCCGACAUAUACAAACUAGACAGUAAUCACAUAAAAUAAAGAAAUAUGUGUUAACACAAACUUAUAGCAUGUAUUUCAACAUAUAGAUUGUUGAUUAUUAUGGUAGAUUAUAUAAAAUAGGGGUUCCCGAAGAAAUACAUAAAAACAAGAGCAUUAAAAUUUCCUUUUCAGAUCUGGCUAUCUGGUAAAAGGAGUUGGAGUAACUGAGUUUCCAAAUUUGUGACGUAGCUCUAUAGAAGGAAUAUAAAUACGUUGGAAAAAUUCUAUAAGGAAAGGUUUAAUACAAGUAGGGCUAAGAAAAACUCAAUGAGGCUUUGGUCGCAUGGUCACAAAACUUGAGACAAGAAACACGAAGACACCAAGGUAAUUAGUAUGAGAGUUUUCCAAAUUUGGUGUCUUGAUGUAGAAAAAAUAAAUAUAUGACAAAUUUGUUUUUUCGCAAGGCAUGGAUAAAUAGGUGGGGGUGAGCAAUAAAUUUCAUCCUAGAUUUAGAAGGAAUAAAUAUAUCACUAAAUAUGUUUUUUCACAAUGCCAAGUUAAUCAGGUGGGAGCGAGAAACAAUUCUAGCGAGGCUAGGUUGUACUAGCCCAAAACUACAUACAACAGAGGAAAAAUGAAGAAAAUGAUGGUCUACCAAAUAUGGCGCAUGAGCCUUAAGGUGCACCUAGAGGGAAGUAGAAGAAAUAAAUAUAUAAUAGCAUAUAUUUUUCGCAAUGCAUGGUAAAGUGUAGAUGUGCUCUAACUGGGCUUAGAUUGCAGCGACACAUUAUGCAUCUACAAGGCUUGGUUGCACAUGGAAAAAGAUACAGAAAGAAAUGUAGACGCAGGACCGGGAGAAAAACAUUCAAUGAGACGUGAUUGCACAGACAUAGAACUAGAUAUAAGACAAGAGUUAAAGAAAAAUAAAGGAACUAAAUUUUCUUCUGCACACUAAGCAUGAAUGGAGUUGUAGUAUCUGAGAUCAAAAUUUAAUUUAUUCCAAGAUGCAGAACAAAAAUGUGAUACUCGUAAUGGUUACAUAGGAACAAAAGUAGUUAAGAAAAAUAGCAAAAAGAUAGUGGUCUACCAGAGAGGGCACAUGUGCCUCAAUUGGCCUAUAGCAUAGCGACUCAUUAUCCUUCCACCGCUGGUGGCGGGCGGUACUCGCUGCUCUGUGAAGCCAGCCUCACGCAAUGUCCGCCACUUUAGGUGUUGGGAUGCAAAGGCUUUCGCCAAGGCAUCCGAAACCCACUACACAACUUGGAAUGGGUGGUCCACAGUUUGUAGCACUAGACCCAGGCACAUGCACCACAAUUGACAUCCACACUACCUUAUUGCCCCCGCUCGGGUUACAAGCAAUCGCUACUUGCUCAGCGAGUGAGGGGGGGUCAAGACUACCUAUUUAAGGUGGUGUUGUACUCUAUGAGCAGGCGGUCUGGUAUUUACCAACUACAAAUAGUGUCAUGCAUGUGACUUGCUAGUUGACAAUGUCUGUUGUCGAGUUAGAUGUGGGCUAUGGAUGAAGCACAUUAGGAUAUAGUAGGCCUAUUUUGUUUUUUGUUGUUUUUGGGCCACUAUGGACUUUCUGUUGAUGUUGUGAAAUUUUUUCUUGUGUUUCCUCUUCCUACGAUGUGGAAAGUGGGUGCGUCAGAGAAGAAAGAAAGAGUGGCUAGCAUUGAUUUUACGUCAUACCAUUGAGAACACUAAUUAGAAGCAGAAGCAACAAUAUUUCAUACAUAUACAACACUUGUAAUCCAUAUAAACAACUUUCCUUUAAAAUAUAAUAUAAACCACAUGAUUUAUAUCCUGGGUCGGCUAUCUCUACAAAGGGCGAGAAAACGCUCCAAGUUUGUAGUAUAGAACUAAAAGUGUCGAUUCUCAUGAUUUUUCCGACAUAUACAAACUAGACAGUAAUCACAUAAAAUAAAGAAAUAUGUGUUAACACGAACUUAUAGCAUGUAUUUCAACAUACAUAUUGUUGAUUAUUAUGGUAGAUUAUAUAAAAUAGGGGUUCCCGAAGAAAUACAUAAAAACAAGAGCAUUAAAAUUUCCUUUUUAGAUCUGGCUAUCUGGUAAAAGGAGUUGGAGUAACUGAGUUUCCAAAUUUGUGACGUAGCUCUAUAGAAGGAAUAUAAAUACGUUGCAAAAAUUCUACAAGGAAAGGUUAAUACAAGUAGGGCUAAGAAAAACUCAAUUAGGCUUUGGUCGCAUGGUCACAAAACUUGAGACAAGAAACACGAAGACACCAAGGUAAUUAGUAUGAGAGUUUUCGAAAUUUGGUGUCUUGAUGUAGAAAAAAUAAAUAUAUGACAAACUUGUUUUUUCUCAAGGCAUGGAUUGAGAGCACCUAGAGGGGGGGGUGAAUAGGUGAUCCUGUGAAACUUGAAAACUUAAGCCACAAAACUUGGUUAAUCGUUAGCACAAUAAUUGCCAAGUGGCUAAAUAGGAAUCCUCAACAAAAUACAAUAACCAACAAAGAUCAAUCACAGAGAUGACACGGUGGUUAUCCCAUGGUUCGGCCAAGACCAACGCUUGCCUACUCCAUGUUGUGGCGUCCCAACGGACGAGGGUUGCAAUCAACCCCUCUCAAGCGGUCCAAAGACCCACUUGAAUACCACGGUGUUUUGCUUUGCUUAUCUUUAUCCCACUUGCGAGGAAUCUCCACAAAUUGGAGUCUCUCGCCCUUACACUUAAAGUUCACAAAGAAGCACGGAGUAAGGGAGGGAAGCAACACACACAAAUCCACAGCAAAAUGCGCACACACACGGCCAAGAAUCGAGCUCAAAAGACUAUCUCAAAGUUCUCACUAGAACGGAGCUCGAAUCACUGAGAAUGACAAACGAAUGCGCAAAGACUGAGUGUGGAUGAUCAAGAAUGCUCUAAGGUUGCUUGGUUUUUCUCCUCCAUGCGCCUAGGGGUCCCUUUUAUAGCCCCAAGGCGGCUAGGAGCCGUUGAGAACAAAUCUGGAAGGCCAUCCUUGCCUUCUGUCGUCGGGCGCACCGGACAGUCCGGUGCACACCGGACACUGUCCGGUGCCCGAUUUCCUUCCUUAAAUGGCGAAGCCGACCGUUGCAGAUGUGGGAGCCGUUGGCGCACCGGACAUGUCCGGUGCACACCGGACAGUCCGGUGCCCCCUUCCGACCGUUGGCUCGGCCACGUGUCGCGCGCGGAUUCCGUGGCCGACCGUUGGCCCGGCCGACCGUUGGCUCACCGGACAGUCCGGUGCACACCGGACAGUCCGGUGAAUUUUAGGCGUACGUCGCCGGUGAAUUCCCGAGAGCGGCCAGUUCGCUCGAGCCAGCCUGGCGCACCGGACACAGUCCGGUGCACCACCGGACAGUCCGGUGCCCCAGACCGAAACAGCCUCUUGGCUGUACACAGCCAACUCUUCUCUUUCCUUCUUCUUUUUGUUUCUGAUACUUAGACAAGUAUAUUAGUACACAAAACCAAUGUACUAAGACUUAGAAACAUACCUUUGCUCUUGAUUUGCACUUUGUCCAUUCAUGGGCAUAGAUUUACAUUUAAUUACUUGUGUUGGCACUCAAUCACCAAAAUACUUAGAAAUGGCCCAAGGGCACAUUUCCCUUUCAAUCUCCCCCUUUUUGGUGAUUUAUGCCAACACAACAUAAAGCAACUAGAACAAGUGCAAUAUUACUUCAAAUAAAAACUCAAAUUCAUUUUGAUUCAAUUUGGCAUAUAUGGAUCAUCCUUUGCCACCACUUGGUUUGUUUUUGCAAAUCAAACUCAAAAUCCUAUCUCUAAGUCAAAUCCACUUGUAGAGACAUAAAGAGAGGUUUUCCAUAGAAGAUUGAUUCAAGAUUCCAAAAACUCCCCCUUUUUCCCAUAAUCAACACUUCACCCCACAAGAGGCCAACUUUUGAUAAAAGAGACAAUGCAAGAGUAUUGACAAACCAAAAGCUCUAUCCUACUGUUUUCAAAGUUUCUCAAGUGGUAGCUGAUCCAUUUAUUGCUUUGGCCUUUAUUUUCUCCCCCUUUGGCGUCAAGCACCAAAACGGGAUCAAUCUUGGCCCUUUAACCCCAUUGCCUCACCAAAAUCUUCAAUUAAGAGCAAAUAGGCAAUAAGAGUUAAAAGAUGAACUUGGAAAAGUUACUCUUUUCAUCGGAGUGCAGUGGAAGUCUUGCAUGGUCCAAGUCCACCUUUUCCCUUUUAAUUCUCCUUCGAGACUAAAACAAGCAAACUCAAGCAUAUGGUUAGUCUCAAAGGGUCAAGUUGUAACACAUCUCCCCCUAAAACUGUGCAUCACUUUGCAACGGACUUGUGAGGUCCAGGGAGUGUUUGUACAACUUGAGCACCAUACUAAACAACAAAAUGCAAAAAGGAUCAUGAUCAAAAGCAUAAAUACAUGUAUGCUACAAUUCAAUCCAAGUUCCGCGAAUCUACGACAUUUAGCUCACUACGCAGCCUGCAAAAGGUCUUCUCAUCUAGAGGCUUGGUAAAGAUAUCGGCUAGCUGGUUCUCGGUGCUAACAUGAAACACUUCGAUAUCUCCCUUUUGCUGGUGAUCUCUCAAAAAGUGAUGCCGGAUGUCAAUGUGCUUUGUGCGGCUGUGUUCAACAGGAUUUUCCGCCAUGCGGAUAGCACUCUCAUUGUCACAUAGGAGUGGGACUUUGCUCAGAUUGUAGCCAAAGUCCCUGAGGGUUUGCCUCAUCCAAAGUAGUUGCGCGCAACACUGUCCUGCGGCAACAUACUCGGCCUCAGCGGUGGAUAGGGCAACGGAGGUUUGUUUCUUAGAGUUCCACGACACCAGGGACCUUCCUAAGAAUUGGCACGUCCCUGAUGUACUCUUCCUAUCGACCUUACAUCCAGCAUAGUCGGAAUCUGAGUUUCCAACCAAGUCAAAGGUAGACCCCUUUGGAUACCAGAGCCCGAAGCAAGGCGUAGCAACCAAAUAUCUAAGAAUUCGCUUCACCGCCACUAAGUGACACUCCUUAGGAUUGGAUUGAAAUCUAGCACACAUGCAUACGCUAAGCAUAAUAUCCGGUCUACUAGCACAUAAAUAAAGUAAAGACCCUAUCAUUGACCGGUAUGCUUUUUGAUCAACGGACUUACCUCCUUUGUUGAGGUCGGUGUGUCCGUCGGUCCCCAUCGGAGUCUUUGCGGGCUUGGCGUCCUUCAUCCCAAACCGCUUCAGCAGGUCUUGCGUGUACUUUGUUUGGGAGAUGAAGGUGCCGUCCUUGAGUUGCUUCACUUGAAACCCAAGGAAGUAGUUCAACUCGCCCAUCAUCGACAUCUCGAAUUUCUGCAUCAUAACCCUGCUAAACUCUUCACAAGACUUUUGGUUAGUAGAACCAAAUAUUAUGUCAUCGACAUAAAUUUGGCACACAAACAAAUCACCAUCACAUGUCUUAGUAAAAAGAGUUGGAUCGGCUUUCCCAACCUUGAAGGCAUUUGCAAUUAAAAAGUCUUUAAGGCAUUCAUACCAUGCUCUUGGGGCUUGCUUAAGUCCAUAGAGCGCCUUAGAGAGCUUACACACGUGGUCGGGGUACCGUUCAUCCUCGAAGCCAGGGGGUUGCUCUACGUACACCUCCUCCUUGAUUGGCCCGUUGAGGAAAGCGCUCUUCACAUCCAUUUGGAACAACCUGAAAGAAUGGUGAGCGACAUAUGCUAGCAAGAUACGAAUUGAUUCUAGCCUAGCCACAGGAGCAAACGUCUCCUCAAAGUCCAAACCUGCGACUUGGGCAUAACCUUUUGCCACAAGUCGAGCCUUGUUCCUCGUCACCACCCCGUGCUCGUCCUGUUUGUUGCGGAAUACCCACUUGGUUCCCACAACGUUUUGCUUGGGACGAGGCACCAGUGUCCAAACUUCAUUUCGCUUGAAGUUGUUGAGUUCCUCCUGCAUGGCUAACACCCAGUCCGGAUCUAGCAAGGCCUCUUCUACCCUGAAAGGCUCAAUAGAAGAGACAAAGGAGUAAUGCUCACAAAAAUUAACUAAUCGAGAUCGAGUAGUUACUCCCUUGCUAAUAUCACCCAGAAUUUGGUCGACGGGAUGAUCCCUUUGAAUCAUCGCUCGAACUUGGGUUGGAGGUGCCGGUUGUGCUUCUUCCUCCAUCACAUGAUCAUCUUGUGCUCCCCAUUGAUCACACUCCUCUUGAUGAACCUGUUCAUCGUUUUGAGUUGGGGGAUGCAUCAUUGUUGAGGAAGAAGGUUGAUCUUGCUCCAAUUGUUCCUGUGGUCGCACAUCACCAAUCGCCAUGGUGCGCAUAGCGGCCGUUGGAACGUCUUCUUCAUCUAAAUCAUCAAGAUCAACAACUUGCUCUCUUGGAGAGCCAUUAGUCUCAUCAAAUACAACGUCGCUAGAGACUUCAACCAAACCCGAUGAUUUGUUGAAGACUCUAUACGCCUUUGUAUUUGACUCAUAACCUAACAAAAACCCUUCUACAGCUUUGGGAGCAAACUUAGAAUUUCUACCCUUCUUUACUAGAAUGUAGCACUUGCUCCCAAAUACACGAAAGUAAGAUACAUUGGGUUUGUUACCGGUUAGUAGCUCAUACGAAGUCUUCUUGAGGAGGCGAUGAAGGUAGACCCUGUUGAUGGCGUGGCAAGCCAUGUUCACGGCUUCCGACUAGAAACACUCGGGGGUCUUGAAUUCUCCAAGCAUCGUCCUCGCCAUAUCGAUUAGUGUCCUGUUCUUCCUCUCUACCACACCAUUUUGCUGUGGUGUGUAGGGAGCGGAGAACUCGUGCUUGAUCCCUUCCUCCUCAAGGAACUCCUCCACUUGAAGAUUCUUGAAAUCGGACCCGUUGUCGCUCCUUAUCUUCUUCACCUUGAGCUCAAACUCAUUUUGAGCUCUCCUAAGGAAGCGCUUGAGGGUCCCUUGGGUUUCAGACUUAUCCUGCAAAAAGAACACCCAAGUGAAGCGGGAAAAGUCAUCGACAAUAACUAGACCAUACUUACUUCCCCCUAUGCUCAGAUAGGCGACGGGUCCGAAGAGGUCCAUAUGCAGCAGCUCCAGGGGUCUUGAAGUGGUCAUCACAUUCUUGCUGUGAUGCGCUCCUCCCACUUGUUUACCUGCUUGACAAGCUGCACAAGGUCUAUCUUUUUCGAAUUGUACGUUAGUCAAACCUAUCACGUGUUCUCCCUUUAGAAGCUUGUGAAGGUUCUUCAUCCCCACAUGUGCUAAGCGGCGAUGCCACAGCCAGCCCAUGCUAGUCUUAGCAAUUAAGCAUGCAUCUAGACCGGCCUCUUCUUUUGCAAAAUCAACUAAGUAAAGCUUGCCGUCUAAUACACCCUUAAAAGCUAGUGAACCAUCACUUCUUCUAAAGACAGACACAUCUACAUUUGUAAAUAGACAGUUAUAUCCCAUAUUGCAUAAUUGACUAACAGAUAACAAAUUAUAUCCAAGAGACUCUACUAAAAACACAUUAGAGAUAGAGUGCUCAUUAGAAAUUGCAAUUUUACCUAACCCUUUUACCUUGCCUUGAUUCCCAUCACCGAAUAUAAUUGAAUCUUGGGAAUCCUUAUUCUUGACGUAGGAGGUGAACAUCUUCUUCUCCCCCGUCAUAUGGUUUGUGCAUCCGCUGUCGAUAAUCCAGCUUGAACCCCCGGAUGCAUAAACCUGCAAGGCAAAUUUAGGCUUGGGACUUAGGUACCCAACUCUUGUUGGGUCCUACAAGGUUAGUCACAAUUUCCUUAGGGAUCCAAAUGCAAGUUUUAUCACCCUUGCAUUUUGCCCCUAACUUCCUAGCAAUCACCUUUCUAUCCUUUCUACAAAUUGCAAAGGAAGCAUUCAAAGCAUGAUAUAUUGUAGAAGGCUCAUUAACUUUCCUAGGCACAUUAACAACAUUUCUCCUAGGCAUAUUAUGAACAACAUUUCUCCUACCAACGUUCCUAUCAUGCUCAUAGAAAGAACUAGAAGCAACCAUGUCAUGAUAAACAUAUGAAUCAAAAACAUUAUAACUUCUAUUUGCAUUUCUAGUAUGUCUCCUAUCAUGAUACAUAAAAGCAUGGUUCUUUUUAGCACUACCAGCCAUAGGGGCCUUCCCUUUCUCCUUGGCGGAAAUGGGAGCCUUAUGGCUUGUUAAGUUCUUGGCUUCCCUCUUGAAGCCAAGUCCAUCCUUAAUUGAGGGAUGUCUACCAAUCGUAUAGGCAUCCCUUGCAAAUUUUAAUUUAUCAAAUUCGCUUUUGCUAGUCUUAAGUUGGGCAUUAAGACUAGCCACUUCAUCAUUCAAUUUAGAAAUUGAAACUAGGUGUUCACUACAAGCAUCAACAUUAAAAUCUUUACACCUAGUGCAAACCAUAACAUGUUCUACACAAGAGUUAGAUUUACUAGCCACUUCUAGUUUAGCAUUUAAAUCAUUAUUAACACCUUUUAAAGUAGCAAUGGUUUCAUGACAAGAAGAUAAUUCACUAGAAAGCACUUCAUUUCUUUUAACUUCUAAAGCAUAAGAUUUUUGUGCCUCUACAAAUUUGUCAUGCUCUUCAUAUAAAAGAUCCUCUUGUUUUUCUAAGAGUCUAUCCUUUUCAUUCAAGGCAUCAAUCAAUUCAUUAAUCUUUUCUACUUUAGUUCUAUCCAAUCCCUUGAACAAACUAGAGUAAUCUAUUUCUUCAUCACUGGACUCAUCAUCACUAGAAGAAUCAUAAGUGACAUUGUUUUGAUUGCAUACCUUCUUCUCCCUUGCCAUAAGGCAUGUGUGACGCUCGUUGGGGAAGAGGGAUGACUUGUUGAAGGCGGUGGCGGCGAGUCCUUCAUUGUCGGAGUCGGAGGAGAAGCAAUCUGAAUCCCACUCCUUUCCGAUAUGUGCCUCGCCCUUGGCCUUCUUGUAAUGCUUCUUCUUCUCCCUUUUGUUCCCCUUUUCCUGGUCACUUUCAUUAUCGGGACAGUUAGCAAUGAAAUGACCAAUCUUACCGCAUUUGAAGCACGAGCGCUUCUCCUUUGUCUUGGUCUUGCUUGGCUGUCCCUUGCGACCUUUAAGCGCCGUCUUGAAGCGCUUAAUGAUGAGGGCCAUCUCCUCAUUAUUUAGCCCGGCCGCCUCAACUUGCGCCACCUUGCUCGGUAGCGCCUCCUUGCUCCUCGUUGCCUUGAGAGCAAUGGGUUGAGGCUCAUGAAUAGGACCGUUCAACGCGUCGUCCACAUAUCUUGCCUCCUUGAUCAUCAUUCGCCCGCUUACGAACUUCCCCAGAACUUCUUCGGGCGACAUCUUGGUGUACCUAGGAUUUUCACGAAUAUUGUUCACCAAAUGAGGAUCAAGAACGGUAAAGGACCUUAGCAUUAGGCGGACGACGUCGUGAUCCGUCCAUCGCGUGCUUCCGUAGCUCCUUAUUUUGUUGAUAAGGGUCUUGAGCCGGUUGUAUGUUUGAGUUGGCUCCUCGCCCCUUAUCAUUGCGAACCGUCCAAGCUCGCCCUCCACCAACUCCAUCUUGGUGAGUAAGGUGACAUCGUUCCCCUCAUGAGAGAUCUUGAGGGUGUCCCAGAUCUGCUUGGCAUUGUCCAAGCCGCUCACCUUAUGGUACUCGUCCCUGCACAAAGAGGCUAGCAACACAGUAGUAGCUUGUGCAUUUUUAUGAAUCUGUUCAUUAAUAAACAUGGGACUAUCCGUACUAUCAAAGUGCAUUCCACUUUCUACAAUCUCCCAUAUGCUAGGAUGGAGAGAGAACAAGUGACUACGCAUUUUGUGACUCCAAAAUCCGUAGUCCUCUCCAUCAAAAUGAGGAGGUUUACUAAGUGGAAUAGAUAAUAACUGAGCAUUAGUACUUUGAGGAAUACGAGAGUAAUCAAAAGAAAAGUACGAAUUGACCGGUUUCUUUCUCUCGUAUUCGUUGUGGUCGUCGUCCUUUUGGGAGGAAGUAGACUCAUCGCUGUCGUAGUAGACGAUCUCCUUGAUGUGUCUUGUCUUCUUCUUCUUCCCAUCUUUGCGUCUGUGGCCCGAGCCCGAGUCGUUGGACUUGUCAUCCCUUGGCUCGUUGACGAAGGACUCCUUCUCCUUGUCGUUGAUCACGAUUCCCUUCCCUUUAGGAUCCAUCUCUUCGGGCGGUUAGUCCCUUUGUGAAGAGAACGGCUCUGAUACCAAUUGAGAGCACCUAGAGGGGGGGUGAAUAGGUGAUCCUGUGAAACUUGAAAACUUAAGCCACAAAACUUGGUUAAUCGUUAGCACAAUAAUUGCCAAGUGGCUAAAUAGGAAUCCUCAACAAAAUACAAUAACCAACAAAGAUCAAUCACAGAGAUGACACGGUGGUUAUCCCGUGGUUCGGCCAAGACCAACGCUUGCCUACUCCACGUUGUGGCGUCCCAACGGACGAGGGUUGCAAUCAACCCCUCUCAAGCGGUCCAAAGACCCACUUGAAUACCACGGUGUUUUGCUUUGCUUAUCUUUAUCCCACUUGCGAGGAAUCUCCACAAAUUGGAGUCUCUCGCCCUUACACUUAAAGUUCACAAAGAAGCACGGAGUAAGGGAGGGAAGCAACACACACAAAUCCACAGCAAAAUGCGCACACACACGGCCAAGAAUCGAGCUCAAAAGACUAUCUCAAAGUUCUCACUAGAACGGAGCUCGAAUCACUGAGAAUGACAAACGAAUGCGCAAAGACUGAGUGUGGAUGAUCAAGAAUGCUCUAAGGUUGCUUGGUUUUUCUCCUCCAUGCGCCUAGGGGUCCCUUUUAUAGCCCCAAGGCGGCUAGGAGCCGUUGAGAACAAAUCUGGAAGGCCAUCCUUGCCUUCUGUCGUCGGGCGCACCGGACAGUCCGGUGCACACCGGACACUGUCCGGUGCCCGAUUUCCUUCCUUAAAUGGCGAAGCCGACCGUUGCAGAUGUGGGAGCCGUUGGCGCACCGGACAUGUCCGGUGCACACCAGACAGUCCGGUGCCCCCUUCCGACCGUUGGCUCGGCCACGUGUCGCGCGCGGAUUCCGCGGCCGACCGUUGGCCCGGCCGACCGUUGGCUCACCGGACAGUCCGGUGCACACCGGACAGUCCGGUGAAUUUUAGGCGUACGUCGCCGGUGAAUUCCCGAGAGCGGCCAGUUCGCUCGAGCCAGCAUGGCGCACCGGACACUGUCCGAUGCACCACCGGACAGUCCGGUGCCCCAGACCGAAACAGCCUCUUGGCUGUACACAGCCAACUCUUCUCUUUCCUUCUUCUUUCUGUUUCUGAUACUUAGACAAGUAUAUUAGUACACAAAACCAAUGUACUAAGACUUAGAAACAUACCUUUGCUCUUGAUUUGCACUUUGUCCAUUCAUGGGCAUAGAUUUACAUUUAAGCACUUGUGUUGGCACUCAAUCACCAAAAUACUUAGAAAUGGCCCAAGGGCACAUUUCCCUUUCAUGGAUAAAUAAGUGGGGGUGAGCAAUAAAUUUCAUCCUAGAUUUAGAAGGAAUAAAUAUAUCACUAAAUACGUUUUUUUUUACAAUGGCAAGUUAAUCAGGUGGGAGCGAGAAACAAUUCUAGCGAGGCUAGGUUGUACUAGCCCAAAAUUACAUACAACAGAGGAAAAAUGAAGAAAAUGAUGGUCUACCAAAUAUGGCGCAUGAGCCUUAAGGUGCACCUAGAGGGAAGUAGAAGAAUAAAUAUAUAAUAGCAUAUGUUUUUCGCAAUGCAAGGUAAAGUGUAGAUGUGCUCUAACUGGGCUUAGAUUGCAGCGACACAUUAUGCAUCUACAAGGCUUGGUUGCACAUGGAAAAAGAUAGAGAGAGAAAUGUAGACGCAGGACCGGGAGAAAACAUUCAAUGAGACGUGAUUGCACGGACAUAGAACUAGAUAUAAGACAAGAGUUAAAGAAAAAAAGGAACUAAAUUUUCUUGUGCACACUAAGCAUGAAUGGAGUUGUAGUAUCUGAGAUCAAAAUUUAAUUUAUUCCAAGAUGCAGAACAAAAACGUGAUAUUCGUAAUGGUUACAUAGGAACAAAAGUAGAUAAGAAAAAUAGCAAAAAGAUAGUGGUCUACCAGAGAGGGCACAUGUGCCUCAAUUGGCCUAUAGCAUAGUGGCUCAUUAUCCUUCCACCGCUGGUGGCGGGCGGUACUCGCUGCUCUGUGAAGCCAGCCUCACGCAAUGUCCGCCACUUUAGGUGUUGGGAUGCAAAGGCUUUCGCCAAGGCAUCCGAAACCCACUACACAACUUGGAAUGGGUGGUCCACAAUUUGUAGCACUAGACCCAUACACAUGCACCACAAUUGAUAUCCACACUACCUUAUUGCCCCCGCUCGGGUUACAAGCAAUCGCUACU